GAUUCAGGAGGCUGUCAAGCUCUUGCAUCGUACGCAUUGAUUGGCAUUUGCGUUGGCACAUCUUCUGAUUAUCUCUUUUUUAUGUGUUUCAAGCGUUCGUGUUGCAAAUCUGCAUGGAGUUUAAAUAUCCAGAAUGAAGCCUGUGAACAUCCUGUAAACCUGUUUUCAACAUGCAGCAUGCAUUGCAUAACACUUAAGAUUCAGCUUUGUGUAAUGGUGUACAUGUAAGGAAUUUAAUAAUACUUAAAACUACCACUUAACAUUGCCAGGAGAGGAUUUCAUUUUGUUGUCAAAAUAUUGUUUUUAAGUAUUUACCGUAAUUUUCCUGUAACCUGGCGAACGCAACUAUUGGUUACGGUUUAUUAAGAGGAUAUCACUUGAUGAUACCUGGGAAAAGCAAUCACUACUAGGACGGAAAAGCACAGUACACCGGUCACAGUGUAAUGAUGCCGACUGGGCUAAUUCCGCAUUUUUGAAUCAUCCUUGCUUUGUUGUUACAUUUCCUAUACUGCAGAGUAUAGUUGACAUGUAUUCAAUCACUAUCACAGCCCACGCAUGAAUUUCAACAAUAUGUGUUGUAGUAACCGGUGACAAUAGCCCUCCUCAAUCUUCUUCCAUUCUACUAUUUCACCUCUAUUCCAUUGAUUCGAAGUUCAUUCCAACAGAAACGGUCUUACGUGCGAAAAUUUUUCCAUGCAGCGCAACGGAUCACUCAGAGCCACUUUUUUCAGUCUUGGGACAAGUGAAAUUCAAACCGGACGAGACCUAACGACGAAGCCUAAGAAACGGGAAAAGAGGAAUUAUUUGACAAACUUGCAAACAGGAAUGAUUUUUUUUUUUAUUUCACAUCUUGUAAACUAUCAAAAUCUCACACACCUUAGGGUUUUAUUCUGUUAUAAAUUUACUACAAUUUACACAUUUGAUAUUUUACAAUUGCAUUUUGUGUGUAUAUUGGAGUAGGUCUUUCAUAGUAUAAAACCCCAAGCCAUGGGAUUUAAUCCCUAUCUGUACAAAAAAAAAGUUUAAAAGAUGUGAAAUUUGAAAAUAUUGAUCAUUGUUUGUUAAUGUCUAUGACACGAUUUCUAUCUAUAACUACAACGAACUGCCCCGUAUGGAGAUCGAAGGAAAAUGUUCUGUUACGAAGGCUUCGCGAUCUAGACAGCUUUUUUCUCUGCAUUUGAUCAACCUGAACGUAUAAUCGAGUUUUGGCAAAAUUAAGAAAAAAGUUUUCUAUCUUGGGAGUUAAAACUGGCUGUUAAGGAAGUUCAUUACGAUGACGAAGCUUACGUCAUGACAACGGGUAAAUGUCGAAAAGCAAGUCGUCGGCUAAAAGAUUGCCUUGAAAUCUUUAGCCUUAUUGAACAUAAGGUAUUGUGUUACAAUUGAACAGCGUGUUAGAGCAACCGAAAAUUUGUGAUCGUUCGGAAGUCAUCUAUUUUAAGCGUUCUUACAAAUUGUCGAUACGAGACAAGCUUCACGCAUUCGCUGUAUUUCUUCCUCGCGGAUGAAAUAUGGCCCCUUAUUUAUUUGAUCCAAGUCCACUAAUAACGUUGAUGCCUUCAUCGGUGUCUGUAUGAAGGAGUCGUUGGUGGAUACUGUACAAGAUUUUGUAAUCGUAAUCAAUCGGCAGAUGAUAUUGAUGGAGGUCAGGUGUAAACAGUAACUGAAAUUCGUUGGAGGGGGGACCGAAGGUUUCCAGAUUCUUUUAUUUUCCCACGUGUUUUUGGUAUUUUUACAACAAAAAAUUAAGUGCAUAUCUGGGCUCCCUUCUUUUCUGUGGCCCCGUUUCCCCUUGA
rnacentral:lncRNA from 1 species